AUUGAACGCUGGCGGCAGGCCUAACACAUGCAAGUCGAACGAGUGGCGAACGGGUGAGUAAUGUCUGGGAACGUGCCGAGUGAUGGGGGAUAACCAAUCGAAAGGUUAGCUAAUACCGCAUAUCAUCAGAUCUGCCCAUAUGGGAUUAGCUAGUUGGUGGGGUAAAGGCCUACCAAGGCGACGAUCAGUAGCUGGUCUGCGAGGAUGAACAGCCACACUGGAACUGAGACACGGCCCAGACGCCUACGUGAGGCAGCUGUGGGGAAUUUUGGACAAUGGGCGCAAGCCUGAUCCAGCCAGGCCGCGUGUCUGAAGAAGGCCUUCGGGUUGUAAAGUACUUUUGGUAGGGAAGCGGUACCCGCAGAAUAAGCACCGGCUAACUACGUGCCAGCAGCCGCGGUAAUUC
rnacentral:rRNA from 1 species